rnacentral:rRNA from 1 species
UACCAGCACCCCGAGUGGUCGGGACGAUUAUUGGGCCUAAAGCAUCCGUAGCCGGCCUUACAAGUCCUCCGUUAAAUCCAGCUGCUUAACAGAUGGGCUGCGGAGGAUACUAUAAGACUAGGAGGCAGGAGAGGCAAGCGGUACUCAGUGGGUAGGGGUAAAAUCCGUUGAUCCAUUGAAGACCACCAGUGGCGAAGGCGGCUUGCCAAAAUGCGCUCGACGGUGAGGGAUGAAAGCUGGGGGAGCAAACGGGAUUA